CUUGUCCUCAUUUGUUAGUCGCUUUGGAUAAAAGCGUCUGCUAAAUGACUAAAU
rfam:Danio rerio chromosome 1, GRCz11 reference primary assembly.